rnacentral:rRNA from 1 species
AACGUAGGACGCAAGCGUUAUCCGGAGUUACUGGGCGUAAAGCGCGGGCAGGCGGCUCGAAACGUCUGUUGUGAAAUCUCCUCGCUCAACGGGGAGAGGCCAUUGGAAACGGUCGAGCUGGAGUGUGGCAGAGGGGGGUGGAAUUCCGCGUGUAGCAGUGAAAUGCGUAGAGAUGCGGAGGAACACCGAUGGCGAAGGCAGCCCCCUGGGCUAACACUGACGCUCAUGCACGAAAGCGUGGGGAGCAAACAGG